rnacentral:rRNA from 1 species
AACGAACGCUGGCGGCAUGCCUAACACAUGCAAGUCGAACGAGACCUUCGGGUUUAGUGGUGCAUGGGUGCGUAAAGCGUGGGAACCUGCCCUUGGGUUUGGAAUAACUUCCCGAAAGGGGUGCUAAUACCGGCUAUUGUAUUCGGUCCAAAGUUUUAUCGCGUUUGGAUGGGCCUCGGUUGGAUUAGUUUGUUGGUAGGGUAAAUGCGUACCAAGGGUAGGUUCCAUAGCUGGUCUGCGAGGAAAGUCAGCCACACUGGGAUUGAGACACGGCCCAGACUCCUACAGGAAGCGGCAGUGGGUAAUACUGGACAGUGGGCUGUAGGCUGAUCCAGCAAUGCCGCGAAAGUGAUGAAAGUCUUAGGGUAGUAAAGCUCUUUUACCCGUUAUUAUAAUGACGGUACCAAGAGAAUAAGCACCGGCUAACUUCGUG